CACUGAGACAGGUGCUGCAUGGCUGUCGUCAGCUCGUGUUGUGAGAUGUUGGGUUAAGUCCCGCAACGAGCGCAACCCUUAUCCUUAGUUGCCAGCACGUAAAGGUGGGAACGUCUGGGGAGACUGCCGGUGAUAAACCGGAGGAAGGUGGGGACGACGUCAAGUCAUCAUGGCCCUUACGGGAUGGGCUACACACGUGCUACAAUGGCGCGUACAAAGGGAAGCAAGCUAGCGAUAGUGAGCGGAUCUCAAAAAGCGCGUCGUAGUCCGGAUCGGAGUCUGCAACUCGACUCCGUGAAGUCGGAAUCGCUAGUAAUCGCGGAUCAGAAUGCCGCGGUGAAUACGUUCCCGGGCCUU
rnacentral:rRNA from 1 species